UACGUAGGGGGCAAGCGUUGUCCGGAAUCAUUGGGCGUAAAGAGCGUGUAGGCGGCCAGAUAAGUCCGCUGUGAAAUCUCGAGGCUCAACUUCGAGCUGUCGGUGGAAACUGUCUGGCUAGAGUCCGGAAGAGGAGAAUGGAAUUCCUGGUGUAGCGGUGAAAUGCGCAGAUAUCAGGAAGAGCACCCGUGGCGAAGGCGGUUCUCUGGGACGGUACUGACGCUGAGACGCGAAAGCGUGGGGAGCGAACAGG
rnacentral:rRNA from 1 species